rnacentral:rRNA from 1 species
AGCGAACGCUGGCGGCAGGCUUAACACAUGCAAGUCGAGCGGGCGUAGCAAUACGUCAGCGGCAGACGGGUGAGUAACGCGUGGGAACAUACCUUUUGGUUCGGAACAACACAGGGAAACUUGUGCUAAUACCGGAUAAGCCCUUACGGGGAAAGAUUUAUCGCCGAAAGAUUGGCCCGCGUCUGAUUAGCUAGUUGGUGAGGUAAUGGCUCACCAAGGCGACGAUCAGUAGCUGGUCUGAGAGGAUGAUCAGCCACAUUGGGACUGAGACACGGCCCAAACUCCUACGGGAGGCAGCAGUGGGGAAUAUUGGACAAUGGGCGCAAGCCUGAUCCAGCCAUGCCGCGUGAGUGAUGAAGGCCCUAGGGUUGUAAAGCUCUUUUGUGCGGGAAGAUAAUGACGGUACCGCAAGAAUAAGCCCCGGCUAACUUCGUGCCAGCCGCCGCCGUAAC